rnacentral:lncRNA from 1 species
UGGCCCUCUAAAUUCAAGGAAGUAAAAGAGAAGCCUUGUUUAUGGUGGUCAUUUUGAAGCUGAUUGCUGCAAGCUUUUUCCUCUUUCCAGCUGGUUGGACAUAAGAGGAGAGGCCUCCCUGCUUCGAUAGAUGUCUAGUGCCCUUGCUCUUAUCCCUUUCUGCUUUCUGUACUUGCCCAAGAGCUGACAAAUCUCUUCUGAAGGUUUGGAUCCAUAACAGAUUAAUUUUCCUGUUCCAUCUCAUGGAGUGUAUGCAGUCUCCAGUGUUUGACACUGCAUCUUGAAUGAGCCUACUACCUCAUGCUGUGAUAGUCUCUGGGUUUCAAAUUGGCAGAAAGGCCCUUGGGUCCAUCCAGCGGCAUGUGACGAGACAGAGGCCAGUUCUUGGAGUACUGUGAUCCAUUCCAGGCAUCAGUCUCUAAUCGCCAUCAUUCUCCAAGGUUUAAAAUGGAAAUAAAAGAGAUUUUGUGUAGGUUCUCUUAUUUUUA